GGCCGGUUGGCCCAAUGGCAAGGCGUCUGACUACGAUUCAAUCAGUUAUCAGGAGAUUCUGGGUUCGACCCCCAGGCUGGUCA